GAUCCUGCUCAGAUUGAACGCUGGCGGCAUGCCUUACACAUGCAAGUCGAACGGUAACAGGUCUUCGGACGCUGACGAGUGGCGAACGGGUGAGUAAUACAUCGGAACGUGCCCAGUCGUGGGGGAUAACUACUCGAAAGAGUAGCUAAUACCGCAUACGAUCUGAGGAUGAAAGCGGGGGACCUUCGGGCCUCGCGCGAUUGGAGCGGCCGAUGGCAGAUUAGGUAGUUGGUGGGAUAAAAG
rnacentral:rRNA from 1 species